UUAUUAUGAGAGUUUGAUCCUGGCUCAGGACGAACGCUGGCGGCGUGCCUAAUACAUGCAAGUCGAACGCUUCUUUCCUCCCGAGUGCUUGCACUCAAUUGGAAAGAGGAGUGGCGGACGGGUGAGUAACACGUGGGUAACCUACCCAUCAGAGGGGGAUAACACUUGGAAACAGGUGCUAAUACCGCAUAACAGUUUAUGUCGCAUGGCAUAAGAGUGAAAGGCGCUUUCGGGUGUCGCUGAUGGAUGGACCCGCGGUGCAUUAGCUAGUUGGUGAGGUAACGGCUCACCAAGGCC
rnacentral:rRNA from 1 species